rnacentral:tRNA from 1 species
GUGGCUUUUAACCACGUGGUCGUGGGUUCGAUCCCCACAGACGGUG